GACAAGGAGAGACAUGACAGGAGAGCGAAGGGAAGGCCUGACGUCACCUUGUGCGGUCCCGGCUGAGCAGGCCGCCUCACCCCAGGGUGCUGGAACCCCAUAUUUGUCCUUGUUGAGCCCACACGUGCUUUGUUCUCGACAGAUGUGCCCAAAGCGAGAAGGGGGAAACUGAGGCCACGGAGCAUGUUGAAAUGGGUUCUUGGCACUGCCCCCUGGGCCAGUAGACUUUCCGAGGGCCUGGUAUGGAUGGAGCCCCUGUCUUGCAGUCUCAGCUCGCUUUUGGUAGCAGCAGCCAGGCUCUCAGUGACAUGAGAGCGGAUGUCAUUGCCGGAAAUACAGUAAGUCCCCUGCAUACGAACCUUCAAGUUGCGAACGUUCAAAGAUUCGAACCUACGUUCGCAUGUCCGGUCGCUUAUGAGAUGUACCUGGAGCUUGUGUCUUAUACGACCACAGAGAGGAAUAGCUGAAGGAGGUAAGACCACGCUGUGGUGAGAAGAACACAGGAUUUUGAGCCAGAAAGACCUGCCUUUGCAUCCCAGCUGUGCCCAUCCACACCUGUGAACCCUUUGAGUGUCCAAUCUACACACCAAGCUUCCAUUUAUCCGUAAAACAGUGCGAUCUCUCCCACUUUGCAGGGUUUGCAUGAGUCAGAAACAGCCCUCCAGAAGGUCAGUUCUCAAUAAAUUGUGAUUGUAGUUGCUACUGAAACGCAUAUGUGUUCUUGUACACUUAAAUGACAAAUUACCUAUAGGUCGUUAAUGGCUAGAAGAAACUCUCCUUCCUCCUGUACAUUUUUGUGGUUCAGAACUCUUUCCAACAAGCUGUGGCUUUAAAAAUGCAGAUGCCUUCUGCAGAAGAGAAAAAGCUUUCCGAGGAAAGCCAGAGGACAUCCUGUUCUGAUUAGCACGUCUCCGUCUGCACUCUAAGGCCUGCUCUCGCCCGUCACAGAAUGCUGAGCAGAGAUCUGGAUCGGAAUGGCUUGGAAUCGCGACUGCAGGCCCGCCUGACCGUGAGACUGGGAUCCACUACCGUCACCUUCCUGCCGGUCAUUCUCAGGGAAAAUGUCCUUAAGGUUUCAGAAAAAGCUGCAGGGGUGGUCAACAGCCCAAGGAGUGGGAGCCAGAGGUGGGGACUGGAGAAGACGCAGGUCCUGGGCUGUCCUGGAGGCGGCAAGCUUUCCGUGCUGCUGAUGGCAACGUGGCCACCACACUUGGUGAACCAAGGCAUGGCCACCAUAUGCAUUUCAUGCCCUCAUGUUGAUUGGACCCAUUCCUGUUUGCUCUCCACCAUCACCGUCUAAAAUGGAAAAUUAGGAGAUGCACAUGCAUUUGCUUCAUAUUGUCCAGGAUGGAAAACCCUGAUCCUUCGUCCCAGAAGAAAAAUAUCUGGGAGGCCAUCAGAUAUCAAGCCUUAAAUGUCAUGGAGAGGUACUGUCCCAGAGCCGUAUGAGCUCUGAUGGGCCAAAACGGGGAGGUAAAUGAGCUAAAAAUGGGAAACGAAUUAGGACGUCUAAACAGAUAGGCAAGUCAUUAUUAACAGAAUAAUAGGAUUAAACCUAAAACACGACUUAUUAGUUUCAGUUGUGAGUUUGCAAUUCAUAUUUCUCCCACAGCGGAGCUACAUUAAGAAUAGUAGAUUAAAGAAAGAAAGAAAGAAUAAUGGAAGAAUGUGACAAUUGUCAUUUAUCACCUAUAAAGUUCCACGUUUUCACUCCAUGGCAACAAAAUCGGUGAUCUAAACAUCAACAAGUAGAACACAUUAUAAACAGUUAUAUACUGUUACCUCCGUAAAGUCAUUACAACAGAAAUAAAAACUGUUUUUUAUUUUAACUAUUAAUAUUCAUCAAAUGUUAAUGAAAACACCUAAAAAAUAAUUAUGAAAAACACAUCGCUUAAGUGACAAAGAUGAAGGAGAUGAUCAUUACUGUGAAUACUUAAUCUGCAAAACAAAGAGCAUACCAUUAAUAGACUUAAUUAUGUCAUUAAAUAUUUAAUUUUACUCUCACUA